UAGGGAAUAUUGGUAAUGUGCGAAAGCGCGAACCAGCAACGCCGCGUGCACGAUGAAGGCCUUCGGGUCGUAAAGUGCUUUUAGAGAGGAUGAGGAAGGACAGUACUUUCUGAAUAAGCCUCGGCUAACUACGUGCCAGCAGCCGCGGUAAAACGUAGGAGGCAAGCGUUAUCCGGAUUUACUGGGCGUAAAGCGCAUGCAGGUGGUCUCGCAAGUUGGAUGUGAAAGCUCCUGGCUUAACUGGGAGAGUUCGUGCAAAACUGCGGGACUAGAGAAUGGUAGAGGGAGGUGGAAUUCCGUGUGUAGUGGUGAAAUGCGUAGAUAUCCGGAGGAACACCAGUGGCGAAAGCGGCCUCCUGGACCACUACUGACACUCAGAUGCGAAAGCUAAGGGAGCAAACG
rnacentral:rRNA from 1 species